UUCCAGCUCAAGCAGACAUUAGAAACUUAGAGAUUUUUUGCUCUAUUACAUUGGAAAUAACUUUGUUCUAUGCAUGCUAUGAGCACUCACUCCAAAUUCUCCAUGAGACAUUGUCAUCAGAUAAAAAAGUCAUACUGCACUGUCUUUUUCUGCAGAUUCCUUACAUUAUUGGGAUCUUAUUUGCUUUAUCACAUGAAUAAGGUAUAAGAUCCCUCAGUCAAGCAAACCUUUAGAGAGCAAUGCUAAUCACUGAAACUGUUGCUUAAACCUUGUUUUCAGUGACCAUGCCAGCCCAAAGAAACCACAUCGUUUAACAAAAGCCAGCCUCACAGCUAAGAAGAAAAUGCCAUACAAAUUUUAGCUGAGACUACAAUAACGUUCACGCCAAAAGCAGAAAAUAUCGCACAUUAUUGCCCUUUAAAAUACUGUAUUAGGCCUGGCCUCUGUACUUUUUUUCACUUAGUGGACAUUCAAGAACAAUACUUCUGGAAGAGUGAUGCUACUGGCUGUUGCAAUAGAGUCAAGAUGUGCUUACUGCAAAGAUCUGAAACUUUCCCAGAAAACCAUUUCCAAAAACAGUGAUGUUCUAUGAGAGAUUCCAUGCUGAGAGAUCAUUCCUUCCAAUUGCCUGACUGUUCCUCCAAAAACUUUGCCAAUGAAUUAUUUACCUCGAAGACUUCAGCCAGCUCUGUCAAUAACCUUUGGGGAAGCUCCAGCUGAUGUGCCGACAGAACAGCAUGGGCACACGGUGCUUGGCCACUGGAAGAAUCUGGCACACGAACUAAACUUUGGAGCCUUUGUUUGCCCUUGGCAUGUCUGCUUUGGAGUUUUGUGCCAAGAAGGCACCACAGAGCCUCCAGAAAAUUAGAAAUACUACAAAAUGGAAUGACUUUUAGCAUAGAGGUGCAACAGUAGCAAAUGUUUGUAAACUAUUCCGACAGCAUUCUUGACAUCCGGCUGGCAAUUUCAUGUAGUCGGGUUUCUACUUUAGUUCCUGUUAAUUUAUUAGUUUGUGAAACUAAAAAACUGCAGCUUACACUCUGUUCAGCUUCCAGAUUCAGACUUUUUGUUUUAAAAUCUGCACAGUGCAAUAUGGAAAUCUGUGCUUUUUAAUGCAGGUUUUAAAAACUGCAGUUAAAUAAUUUCAGGUGGGGGGGAAGCUAUAUCCAAGGAUAACACCUGUUUCGAUGCAAUUAAAGCCCUACAGCAAUGUAUGGAUAAAAUACUUCCAGAAAACAUUUCAAAUGAUUACAAGACCAAAGGGGUUGUGAGUAGUUAGUCCCCAGAAAAUAGAUUGGUACUGGUGGAAGCAGAUUGAUUUGAACUAACUAUUGCCCAGGUGCAAUGGAAGGUGUAAGAUGGUG
rnacentral:lncRNA from 1 species